CCUACGGGAGGCAGCAGUGGGGGAUAUUGCACAAUGGGGGAAACCCUGAUGCAGCGACGCCGCGUGGGCGAAGAAGUAUUUCGGUAUGUAAAGCCCUAUCAGCAGGGAAGAAGAAAUGACGGUACCUGAGUAAGAAGCACCGGCUAAAUACGUGCCAGCAGCCGCGGUAAUACGUAUGGUGCAAGCGUUAUCCGGAUUUACUGGGUGUAAAGGGAGCGCAGGCGGCACGGCAAGCCUGAUGUGAAAGCCCGCGGCCCAACCGCGGGACUGCAUUGGGAACUACCGGGCUGGAGUGCCGGAGAGGUAGGCGGAAUUCCUAGUGUAGCGGUGAAAUGCGUAGAUAUUAGGAGGAACACCAGUGGCGAAGGCGGCUUACUGGACAGUAACUGACGUUGAGGCUCGAAAGCGUGGGGAGCGAACAGGAUUAGAUACCCCUGUAGUC
rnacentral:rRNA from 1 species